AUGGAUCUUCAUUCAGUUAUUCUGUUCUGUGCCUCAACUGCUGUUGUCUUUGGAAACAACAUCAGUCCAGAUACAACAGAUGUUGGUGCUGAUGAAGGUCAAAAAGCUAUUCUGUCCUGCAGUUAUUCCUCCUCUGGGGUUACAGAAAAUCUCUUCUGGUACCGUCAGUAUGGAAGAUCAAAACCUGAAUUUCUCGUAGCCACAUACAGUACUGCAAAAGAGAGUGAGAUAUCUGGUGUAGAUUCAAGAUUUUCUGUUAAAGUAACAAAAAAGGAACAAAUCCAUGUGAUUCUGGAGAUCUCCUCUGCUGCUGUAUCAGACUCUGCUGUGUACAUCUGUGCUCUGCAGCCCACAAAAUACUACAUGGCCAAUGCACCAUCAUCAUCAGCACUGUUUUGUGCACAGUGUGGAAUCUAA